GAUGAAGAACGCAGCGAAAUGCGAUAAGUAAUGUGAAUUGCAGAAUUCAGUGAAUCAUCGAAUCUUUGAACGCACAUUGCGCCCUCUGGUAUUCCGGGGGGCAUGCCUGUUCGAGCGUCAUUAUAACCACUCAAGCUCUCGCUUGGUAUUGGAGUUCGCGAUCUCGCGGCUCCUAAAAUCAGUGGCGGUGCCUGUCGGCUCUACGCGUAGUAAUACUCCUCGCGAUUGAAUCCGGUAGGUUUACUUGCCAGCAACCCCCAAUUUUUACAGGUUGACCUCGGAUCAGGUAGGGAUACCCGCUGAACUUAAGCAUAUCAAUAAGCGGAGGA
rnacentral:misc_RNA from 1 species